rnacentral:snoRNA from 1 species
UUGCCUGAAAUGAUGAUUAUUUCAUGAAUCUUCUCUGAAACUUUUUUCUCUGAAGACAAAAACUUACCUCUCUGAAUCUGAUCGGGCAC